UACGAGUGCUCCAAGCGUUAUCCGGAAUCAUUGGGCGUAAAGGGUGUGUAGGCGGUUGUGUUAGUCUUCUGUCAAAUUCUUCGGCUUAACCGGGGGUCCGCAGAGGAAACGGCACAACUUGAGGAUGCGGGAGGUGAAUGGAACUCAUGGAGUAGGGGUGAAAUCCGUUGAUAUCAUGGGGAACACCAAAAGCGAAGGCAAUUCACUGGCGCACUCCUGACGCUGAGACACGAAAGCGUAGGUAGCGAAUGGG
rnacentral:misc_RNA from 1 species